AGGUGUGCGCCACCACCGCUCCACGUGCGUCCCUCCCGAAGCUGCGCUCGGGUGAAGAGGACAACCUUCCCAGAAUAGAGGACCAGUCUUCCGGUCAAGGGUAUACGUGUAGUUGUGCUCCCCUGCUAGAACCUCUAAACAAGCUCUCGAGAACAACUUUUAACCACACCAAAUCCUUACUUUUACUGUUUAAAAUGCUUGGAAAACCUGGCUCCAUGCUUU
rnacentral:snRNA from 1 species